rnacentral:rRNA from 1 species
UACGGGGGGGGCAAGCGUUGUUCGGAAUUACUGGGCGUAAAGGGUUUGUAGGUGGCCAACUAAGUCAGACGUGAAAUCCCUCAGCUUAACUGGGGAACUGCGUCUGAUACUGGUUGGCUUGAGUGCAGGAGAGGAAUGCGGAAUUCCAGGUGUAGCGGUGAAAUGCGUAGAUAUCUGGAGGAACACCGGUGGCGAAGGCGGCAUUCUGGACCAAUUCUGACGCUGAGGAGCGAAAGCCAGGGGAGCAAACGGG